rnacentral:lncRNA from 1 species
UUCAUUUCUAUACGACUCCAUGUGAGCAUCUUUUGACAAUGGGACCUCUCAAGUCACCAUAAAUUAGACAAGGAUUUGCCGACCUUUUUGCCAUUCCUCUCUCUAGCUAUACUGGUUUUCCUUCCGGCUCCCUGUAAUUCUUGGACAUAUGAGCUUCAUACAAAAUAGUCAAGAAUGUGAUUUUCAGCAAAGGGCAUCUUUCUUUGUUUUUGGCUAGGAGCCUUAGUU